UCCAGCCCACACAAGGACAAAAACAUUUUCUGUGGUAAAUGAUAGAGGCAGUUAGUUACAUUAGAAGAGAGACCUCACCAAUAUCAGCCCUGUAGUGGGCCCCAGGAAAAUGAUUUGGUCCCUAGUCCUUGCUUUUCUUGAGAUAGAUACAUUUUUGGAAGGACCAAAGAACCAAUUAUAUUUGUGUUAACUUAGUACCCAAUGUCCUAUUCUAGCAUAUUAACCGAAGGCCUUCAGGUUAUGUGAAACAAAAGAAUUUUGUGAGUGUUCACCUGGGCUUCAGGACAUGGGAGGUUCCAGGCAACCAGAACAGCCUGACGCACACUGAAGGAGCAAUCAGACUGGGUUUGGUCUCAAAUCUGUGACUUCAGGCAAGUUACAGAUUUCUCCAAACUCCAGUUUUCUCAUCUGCAAAAUGGUGAUGAUGAUAUCUGUCUUGUUAUCUUACUAGGUUGUUAGAAGGACUGAAUGAGAUGAAGUAGAGGAAAGUCUUCUAGGACAGGGGUCCUCAACCCUUGGGCCACAGACUGGUGGCAGGAGGGCUGCACAGCAGAUGGGAUGCCUGGUUGCAAGAAAACAAGCUCAGGGCUCCCACAGAUUCUACGUGAUGCAGUUUUCACAGAUUUGUGGCCAGAUGCUAGAGACAAAGGCUGAGAAGUUGUCCAGGACGUCAUAUUCUUGCUUUGCUGGAGGCAGAUCUGAAGGAUGUCAUCUCUCCUGUGGCUUCUUCUAGUGUGGGGUCCCGAAGCCUGGCUUCCCCAGCCGAUGUGCUGCUUUAGUCAGCGUCUGCCCUGGUCCUUCGGUUCGCAGGCUCACACGCUUUUUUGGGUUGUGUCCCUUUGGACUGCAGAGGCUACGUGUCCUGUGACCAACCACGAAGGCGGCCACUCCCGCUCCCCUCAGGAGUGUCUUAAAAUACCUCCAUUUUAGCUACCCUAUUGAAUGACAGGUUAGCUGGGUGCUGGGUUUUCAGGUGAUGGACAUUUUCCCUCAGUCCUCUGAAGGUGUUGCUGGCUUCAGGCAUUGAUGCCGCCACUCUGAUUGUUGUAUGCAGUGAGCAAACUAGAAUUUUCUCUUGGCUUUCUAGAUUUUCUUCUUUAUAUUCUGAAACUUUAUUAUAUCAAGGUUUGAAUUUUAUUUUUUUUGGAGACAGGGUCCUACUCUGUCAUCCAGGCUGGAGUGCAAUGGUGCAGUCCUGCUCACUGCAGCCUCCAAGUCCAGGGCUGAAGCGAUCCUUCUGCCUCAGCCUCCUAAGUAGCUGGGAUCACAGGUGUGCACCACUCUGCCUAACAAGGCUUGUUUUUUGUUUGUUUGUUUGUUUUAAAUAAAUACAUUCAGAUUGUUUUGCCCCUUGAUGAGUUUUUCAGUCUGCAUAGUCCUGUCAUUUUUUCACUUCUGGAAAAUUCUUAGUCAUGAUUUCUGCAAAUAUUUCCUCUCAUUCUGUUUUUUCCUUCUGGAACUCUUUCAUUACCUUUUUGUAGUCAUCUCUUUAUUUCCCUAUACUGCAUUUUUUAAUGGUUUCUUCUGUUCUGUUUUUACAAAUUCUAUCUAUCUUCACAUGGAUUUAGUCUAUUUUUUACUUUUACUCAUUAAUUUAAAAAUACAUUUAACUCCAUUUUCACUAAUGAGGGUGUAUGUGCAUUUAGUUUUUACUUUUAAAGAAGCAGGGUCUUGCUCUGCUGUUGAGGCUGGUAUUGAACUCCUGGGGCUCAAGCAGUGCAAGGAGCUGAGACUACAGGCAUGCGCUACCAC
rnacentral:lncRNA from 10 species